rnacentral:rRNA from 1 species
AACGAACGCUGGCGGCAUGCCUAACACAUGCAAGUCGAACGAGAUCUUCGGGUCUAGUGGCGCACGGGUGCGUAACGCGUGGGAAUCUGCCCUUUGGUUCGGAAUAACAGUUGGAAACGACUGCUAAGACCGGAUGAUGACGAAAGUCCAAAGAUUUAUCGCAAGAGGAUGAGCCCGCGUAGGAUUAGCUAGUUGGUGGGGUUAAGGCGCACCAAGGCGACGAUCCUUAGCUGGUCUGAGAGGAUGAUCAGCCACACUGGGACUGAGACACGGCACAGACUCCUAAGGUGGUGAGCAGUGUGGAAUAUUGAUCAAUGGGCGAAAGCUUGAUCCAGCAAUGCCGCGUGACUGUUGAAGGACUUGGGGUUGUACAGCUCUUUUCCCCGGGAUGAUAAUGACAGUACCGGGAGAAUAAGCUCCGGCUAACUCCGUGCCAGCCGCCGCCGUAA